rnacentral:rRNA from 1 species
UACGUAGGGGGCUAGCGUUGUUCGGAAUUACUGGGCGUAAAGGGCUCGUAGGCGGCCAACUAAGUCGGAUGUGAAAUCCCCAGGCUUAACCUGGGAACUGCAUCCGAUACUGGAUGGCUUGAAUCCGGGAGAGGGAUGCAGAAUUCCAGGUGGUAGCGGUGAAAUGCGUAGAUAUCAGGAGGAACACCGGUGGCGAAGGCGGAUCUCUGGGCCUUACCUGACGCUCGAGGCGCGAAAGCUAGGGGAGCGAACAGG